CUAGAACCUAACUCUCUUUCUCUCUUUUCCUCACAGCAGCCUAAUCAGGUAUUGUGAUCAUUUUCUUCUGACCAAUCCCGUGUGCACACACACACAUACACCCACACAUGUACGCAUCCUUCUUCUCUCCCUCACUUUCUCGACCUUUCCUCGUCCAUUCACCGUAGCACACAUACACCCAACCAUCAUCAACUCUCAUGGAUCGAGCUUUUGAAGACCACAUUCGUGUUCCUUGCAAGCUUAGGAACCUAACCAUACCCUUAGUUUGAAGAACAGAUCACGAGAACUUGAGAAACCAUAACCUCCGGCGAGGUGAAGUUUUCUCUGUCACAAUCCUGACGUGAUUUCGAGGUUUUAAGGCUUAGUAAGGAUACUUUCAACAAAAUUCAUAUAAUCAUAAGAAACAAAAGCAUCACCACAAGGGAGGGCAACCAUUCAUGCUAGGAAGGCUCACAAAGUAAUGAAGAAAAAGAAGGAUGAAGUUAAAGGAGAAGUAUUCAAGAAGCACUUGAGGUAGUGAUGGUGAUCUUUCAGAUGACCACAAUACUUGUGCUAAACUGGAAGACCAUGAUAUGGAUGACGACAUAUGUCGUUGGUUUCAAACAUGCACAUGGUAUACCUGUUUUGUUACCAACACAAUGUCUUAAACUCUAGUUAGCAUCUCUGUAUGUCUAGAGGUGUAAGGAUGGUUAUGUUAGCUUUUGGGAUGUGCACUUGGUAUAUUUACUGGAUGUUACCUAAAUCAUUGAUUAAUGAAAAUGUGUUUCGCCAAA